AGGGAUUGUUCGCCUUGGUGUGGAAUGGUCUGCGUGCACCGGUCUGUCGGUGCGUAAACGAGCCGCCAAACCUAACGCGAAACCGGAGCCGUAAAACCUAGAGCGAUCAAGAUGGCGAAACCUUCCGUCUCCCUACAGAACAUUAAGGAUUUUUGGAAUUCCCAAGUCAAUGACGAAGCCAAUUGGGCCGUCAACUCGAAGCUGCUUCGUGCCACCUGUCUGUUUGCUGGAUCUAUAUUCAUAAUGCGCAACUUUGGAAAUCUUAUGGCUGUUUGAGAUAUCAGAAUUGUUGGCUCAUCGGUAUUUUUGGUUCACAUGCUGACCUCAAAUCGUUAGCCGAAUUAUGUUGUCGACUGAACUUUUCCUGGCUUUUGUAUUAACUGGGUAUUUUCUCCAUAGUGGUCUUAUUUGACCAUCAUUGACUUCAAUCAGUGAGUAGUUGUUGUGGUCUUAUUUGUUGAUGAUUUUGCCUUCA